rnacentral:rRNA from 1 species
GACAGAGGAUGCAAGCGUUAUCCGGAAUGAUUGGGCGUAAAGCGUCUGUAGGUGGCUUUUUAAGUCCGCCGUCAAAUCCCAGGGCUCAACCCUGGACAGGCGGUGGAAACUACCAAGCUGGAGUACGGUAGGGGCAGAGGGAAUUUCCGGUGGAGCGGUGAAAUGCGUAGAGAUCAGAAAGAACACCAACGGCGAAAGCACUCUGCUGGGCCGACACUGACACUGAGGCGCGACAGCGUGGGGAGCAAACAGG